GCCUCCUCCCAGUCGCCAUGGUCAGGCUCACCGCUGACCUGAUAUGGAAGAGCCCGCACUUCUUCAACGCCGUCAAGGAGCGCGAGCUCGACCUCCGAGGCAACAAGAUCGCCGUCAUCGAGAAUGUCGGAGCCACCGAGGACCAGUUUGACACAAUUGACUUGUCGGAUAAUGAGAUUGUCAAGCUUGAAAACUUCCCAUACUUGAAUCGUCUUGGCACUCUACUAGUUAAUAAUAACAGAAUCACACGUAUCAAUCCCAAUCUUGGCGAGUUUUUGCCAAAGCUGCAUACGCUGGUGCUCACGAAUAAUCGUCUGACAAAUCUUGCAGAGAUUGAUCCCCUGGCAUCUCUUCCAAAGCUACAAUUCCUUAGCUUACUGGAUAAUACUGUAACUAAGCAGCCAGAUUACAGGCUGUAUGUGAUCCAUAAAUUGAAGCAUUUGCGUUUGCUGGAUUUCAAGAAAGUGAAACAACAGGUUUGUUCAUUUCCUUUGGAAUGGCUCCAAAAUAUGUUUUGGGAUGGACCCCAGAAGUGCUGGGCUGCUGGCAGCAAAAGAGACAAACAAGCAACUCUUUUGACUUUGGAUUUUCACGAAUUAGAUGCAUUAACACCAUGGAAUGCUUUGUCUGGCAUGUUUUCCAUUAUCCAGUCUGCAAAUGUUGCUUUUAUUUCUGAUUUUCUUGGGAGAUUUUUUUUUUGCUUUGUAGGAGAGAGUUGCGGCAGCGAAAAAGUUCCACUCAAAGGAAGCAGAGGAAGAGGCAAAGAAGGUGCCUGCCAAAACGUUUACUCCUGGUCUGCCUGAUGCUCAGGACAUCACAAUGGAGCCACAAGGUCCUAAAGUAGUUGCUCCAACUCCUGAACAAAUCACAGCUAUCAAGGCUGCUAUUGCAAAUGCCCACACUCUCGAGGAAGCUGCAAGGCUAGAACAGGUACUAAGCACUGGCCAAGUUCCUGCUGAAUUUGCAGUGCCCAGGCCCGAUGCAAACAUGGCCGAAGCUUCAGAUGGAGCCGAGAAGAUGGACACAGAUGGUGAGAACCAAGAGGGCGGUGAGGCUGAUGGGCAGAAACAAGGCGAAGGAAGCACCCCAAUUCAGGAGGAUUGAAGUCAUGGUGACAUGGGCUGGGUCAUCCAUUGUCUGAGUUAGGUUUGCCAGUUUUCGUGGGGGUGCAGGAAAGAGCUAGAGCCUUGUUGCCGCAGAACUCCCCCUCUAUGGAUCGCAUGUGGAUGCUAACAAGAUUCUUGCUUAUUUUUGCAGUAGAUGGUACUGAGAACAGAAUCAGAUGUUGUAAACUAUACAUACAGUCGUGCAUGUUGCCGAAUGGACCAUUGUUUCGGUCGUAGCGCUUGUGUCGGUGCCUGACUGCAGUCUGCAGAGCGAGAUGUCGCCCUGCCGCCUAUCCUUUUCUCGGAGUGCUUUAUUACAAGUUUGAGUGAUGGAUCCUGUUGAGUUGAGGCGGAUGAUCGUCAUCUAUUGCUGGAUGUUUCGUUUU